rnacentral:lncRNA from 1 species
AGUUUAUCAUACUCUUCAUUUUGUGCUUCUGUUAAGUUUGUUGAAGAUUUGUUAUCUAUGACUUUUGAAAUCUUUUGUUGAACCAAAAUGCCCUUCAUCUUUUAUUGUCAAAUUGAAAAAUCCACUUUCCCAUUAAAAAUACCAACUUUAAAAUGUGAAGAUAUUUUUAAGAAAAACAGAACAACCAAAGUACAGAUAGGUCAUACAAGGUAAUCCAAAGGCCGCAAGAUACACCGUUAUAAAAUUUCCAAGCAUCUAUAAGAUUCACGAUCUUAGAUCAAGGGAAUGUUCAAACGAGUCAAGUCAGGUGUUUUGACAUCAUAAUCAAUGCAACAUGAAGUUAUGUAAACAAAAAUUCAAAUUAUCACGCAAUGUAGUCUUAUACGGUGACUAUAUGAUAGUUAAAGCACAAAAUCUAUUACUAACUUGCAAUCAAAACUCAGCACUUCAUAUAUGGCAAAUAACUCAUAAAUUUCUAGCACAAGCAAUGUUACCACUUCACGAUAACUACAACGCUAUUGUCAUCCCACAUAAUGACAUGCUAAUACUGAAAGGUAAAUUGAGAUAAGAUAUUAUACCAGAGCGGACCAAUAUGAGUUCGUAAAUUAUGAGAGACGCGAAUUUAUCAUUUUAGAACAAUCACUAUUCGUUCUAAAGUCUCUAGCAUCUGCAGCAACCAACCAAUCACGAUCAAUACCCGAACGUGCGAAGAACAAUUCUAUCCAGAUUCUACUGCACAACUUGAAAAAGAAAACUAACGACACCAUAGUGUCAAAAAUAACGUUGGGAACAAACUGCCUCAAAACACCGUUGUUAGAAAAUGCCGUCAUGUGCCACCACAAGCCUCUGCGCGUGGGCUUUAUAGGCCGUCGAAAAGUCUCAUGGGUCGAACUUCUAGAAAUACCUCCACCUAUAUGUCACACCAGUGGUCUCUGUUUCACCAAACUAUUUCUGGAUUGGCCGAAAAACACGAAAAUAGAGGCUGAUUUUUGGCAAUUUUCUGGACAGUUUUUUGAUUUGAUUUCUGCUUCGUUUCUAUUGAUUUCCUAGAUUUUUUUGAUAAGUUUCAUAAACUAAAACCACCACCUUGAAGCUUUGACACCAAUUGUUGCGAAAACUUGCUCCAAAGAUCUUCAAAUCAGUGUUUUCCAAGCUCAGUCCAACAUUACAUUUCUCUACCAAUCAACCAAAACAAUCGGCUCCGAUCCACAAUCAAUAUAUUCACCUCGAUUGUUUUUCAAUCUCAUCCACACAGGACAAGAUAACAGUGAUGAUUUGUAGCCGCAAAGGCAAGAAGAAAACACCACAAAGGAAGCUAUGAAGAGAGUGAUGUGGGAAUUUAUUUCACACAUAUUCUUAGACCUAAUUGUUUAGAUUCAAGUGUUUUAUAUGUUUUUUUUUUUAGCUCACUUUUCUAGAAUUUUAGGUGCCUUUUAUAAUUAUUUAAUUCUUGGUGUUUUGCAGGUGUUUAAUUAUUGAAUUAGUUUGAAAUUGGGCUGCCCAGUCAAACCAGAACACUGUUUGGUAUUUGGGUUCUAAUUGGAGCUACAUAUCUCCAUUUUAGGUGUUGUUGGAAAGAUAAGGCCCAAAUCUAAAACUUUUCUGAAGAGAGAAAAACUCAGUUCUGCCGUUAAAAAGGAACAAAUCCUAUCCGAAGCAGAGAACUGGAAAUCUGUCCAGAAUUCACAACAGCCUGACCCAGAUUCUGUUUUCG